UACAGACUCAAGCUGAGUGGAGACACACACUGAACAGAUGACAUGCCAGCCAAACUUGCCCCAAAAGUUGGGGAGGGAAAUGGUGCUCAACUGAAGGCAGCUGCUCUUGGGAGAGUCUUGACAGAGACCUCUGCAGCGAUAGUGCCUGGCAUCAGUGAUUGACGGGGAGCCAUCUGAUCAACUUUUGUUUCUGAAGGAAAACCCUGAGGAAACUCACUACCAUCCUCAGUGGCUGGUGGAUGGAUAAAGAGGUGGAAAGCAAGUUGGUAAGACUGCGGAUGGUCUUUCUUUUUCUCUUUCUUUUCCUUGUUUCCUCUCUCUUUUUUUCUCUUUCUUUCUUUCUUUUCUUUCUUUCUCUGUCUCUCGCUCUGUCUUUCUUUCUUUUCUUUUCUUUUUUUUGACAGAGUCUCACUCUGUUGCCCAGGCUGGAGUGCAGUGCUGCAAUUCAGGCUGACUGCAACCUCUGCCUCCCGGGUUUAAGCGAUUCUCCUGCCUCAGCCUCCUGAGUAGCUGGGACUAUAGGCGCCCACCACCAUGCCCAGCUCAUGUUUGUAUUUUUAGUAGAAAUGAGACUUCGUCAUGUUGGCCAGGCUGGUCUCAAACUCCUGACCUCAAGUGAUCCCCCCGCCUCGGCCUCCCAAAGUGCUGGGAUUACAGGUGUGAGUCACCGUGCCCAGCCAGAUGGUCUUUCUAACCAAACAACAGGGUAGCUGCAGGUCUCAGACCUUCUGUUUCUGCUUAACUGGUUGUAAAGAAUAUUCAUAUUGGUGGAACGAGAGGAAUGAGAAGGGUGGCUGUUUGCUUUCUGUGUGUGUAACAGAGAUGUAGAUGGUGGCUGUGUUACAUGAGAGAGGCCCAGAGGGCAGGAGAGAAGGAAGUGUCCAUGCUCACUAUUGCAAUUUAGUGUCUUAAGAUUCGUAUUUUGUUAAUUAUUUUGCUUGGUGAAAGUGACUUAACAUGUUUGAGCCAUAAGAAGAGACAACCAGAAAUGUGAUAAAGCCAAGAAAACUAUAGCAAAUGAUACUCUUGUGACAAGUCCUCCCCAUAAUGCCACACUGUUUUCCUCAAAUCCCCUCAAAGCACAUGGCAAAAGACAAAACUCCUGUCAACAAUUUCAGCUGCAAGUGAGAAUGAGAGGUUGGGAAAAUUUAUACAAUAGUAUGGUUCUCUCAGUUGUAUUCUUUGGUUAAAAUAUUGUCUUAAACUUCAACAGGCCACACUGUUUGUUUCAGUGUGGUUGAGAAAGAUGAAAAAUCAAAGCCAUUUCCUUUUACAAAAGCUUUCUGGAGGGCUGCUGAGGGUUACUUACCUUUGGGGGUGGCCCUUUGAAGGGAGACUGAGGAAGUGUAAUGGAAGGAACCAUGUGAGCAUUGGCCUGUCUGAGAAGUUAUCCAUGCUUUCCCUACAACCCCUCACCUGCAAGACGCCUCUAAGAGCUAUAAAAUCUUUCCCUCCCUUCUCUCCAACAGUCACAGACAGAGAUUGGCACUUCCUACAAGGCAGGCUUUCCAUCAUGUAGUUUGUAGAUUGUGUAAGUGGUUCUGAGAUGUGAAAUGCUCUAAAUCUCAUUUCCCCAUCAUUUUCCAAAAGUAUUUUUCUAGGUGAGAUUUCUAUCUCAUAGAUGGCAUUGAUAUCUCAAUGCAAGGACAGGAGCAACUCAUGCUGCCUGCUUUGACCACCCUCCCCCACACUUCAUCACCAUCCCUGCCUAACCCCUGGAGCAACUGUCCCUAAAGGGCCAUGGUGGUGGGGCCCCUGGCCUCAGAGCCUCCCCGCGUCCCCAGGCAGCUGUGGCAGAGCCCUGAACAUCACUCCUUCGGUGAUCCUUGGUCUCUCCUUCUCACCUGUAUGGGAAAAGAGACUUGGGCUGAGAAAUGCAUUCAGAUUUUUUCUGGCCUGUGGACUGUUUUCUUUCUAUGGUCUGAGUGUGUAGAGUGAGCAGAAACUAUGAAGAGCCAUGAGCAGUUCCGGGGGAGCAGCUGCGAGCAUCAUGGAAGGCCUCUGCCCUGUCGGAGAAGCCGGGAUCCUCUUCAGCUUGGACACUACAUCAGUGACACUGGCAUCUCCCCCAUGCCAGAAUUGCCGUCCACGCUAAGCCUUUUGCCCACAUCUCUACUGUUUAGAGACGGAACUGAGGUCUCAGACAUCUCUGAGGUGUCCAGAUUAAUCAGGAGACCAUUGUAGAUGAGGCAUCGCUCUAGGACCUGGUACCUGCUUGUGCUUUGUCCAGAACUGAGCUCAGAACUUGCCCAGUUCUACCACAUGUCUGAAAACUUCUUCCUUCCUGUCCACAUCAUUCCGUAGUUGUCUCUGAGAUAUGUCUAUUUACAAGAAGAUACUCUGAAAAGGGCCAAGUCAGAAAUGACAUCUUGAUGUAUCCAGCCAGCCAGCAGUCUCAGUAGCCACUAAAAAAUUAGGUCAGUAGUUAAAAAUACUUUUACAAAGAAAAGCCCAGGCUUGGAUAGUUUUAUAAGAAUUACACCAAACAUUCAAGGAAUAGUUAAUAGUUCAUUCAAAUCUUAUACAAAUUCUUUCAGAUAAUAAAAAAAGAAAAAGAAAAACUCCUUAGCAAAUAUGUGAGAUAAAUAUAAACACAAUAUGAAAUUCACAUAGAGAUAAUUCGAGACAGGAAAAAUGAUUUACUCAUGAACAUAAAUGCAAAAAUCCUUUAAAAAUAUUGGCAAACUGAAUCCAAGAAUAUGUGAAAAAUAUAACACACCAUGAUAAAUUUGCAUCAUCCUAUAAAUGCAAAAUAUAUUUUGUAUUAAAAAAUCUAGUUUAGUUCAUGAAAUUAACAAAUUAAAUAAUUAUUUCAAUACUAUUAGAUAAACUUUAAACAUAUGUGGUCUCCUAGCUCUCCAAAGACCUCAUACUAAAAUAAUAGUUCUUCUUAAUAGAAGGAGCAAGGAAUUAUUGUUCCCAAAUGUUUUUACACACCUCCCCGCUAUGAGAGAAGUGUACUUCCUGGUUGGCUGACAUCCAGCCUGGGCCAUGUGACUUGCUCUGCCAGGAGUAGCAGGAAAGCAGAAAUGAUGUCUAUUAAGUCUUGAAAGAGGCUUUAAGAGCUAAUACACUCUUCUCCCACAUCCCCUCCUCAAGGGUCUCACUCCUAAAUAAAUGUUACUUUUUCAACUUCCAUCCCAGAAUAAAAAAGCAUGUGGAGCAGAAAUGGAACAGAGUAGAGGCCAGCUCAGUUUCCAUGUUAUAAAACCAAAUAGACAUCUUUGUUGCAGUAAGCCCCCAUGAUCUGGAUGUUGUUUGCUAUCACAAUAUAACUUACUCUGUGAUGAUUGCUAUUUUAAAAAGAGUACCUACCAAAAAUUUGUAGCGCAAACCAUACUUACUAAUAAAAAAUUAACCUUACUCCCUUUAAAAUAAAAAACAACAGUGAUGCCUUUGAUUCAACAUUGUGCAGUAAGAUAAGGAAAAAUAAAAUGUAGGAAUUAUAAAAGGAAAUACUAAGCUUUGGUUAUUUGCAGGUAAUAUGAUUGUUUAUAUAGAAACUCCUCAAGAAUAUGGACAUAAUUUAACAAAACAGAGCACCUAAAAUACCAACAAAAUCAUAAUACAUCCAGGAAUAAAUCUAACAAAAUUUGUGCAAGACUUCUUUGAAAUUAUAUAUGUUAUUAAAAUACAUUAAAGUAAACGUAAAUAAAUGCAUAUAUUAUUUAUCUAUUUAUUUAUUUAUUAUUAUUAUUUUUUUUUGAGAUGAGGUCUCACUAUGUUGCCCAGGUUGGUCUCGAACUCCUGGGCUCAAGUGAUCUGUUCACCUUGGCCUCCCAAAAUGCUGGGAUUACAAGCAUGAGCCACCACACCUGGCCUUAUAUUUAUUUUGUAUACAUAUAAUAUUUGUGAUAGAAGGACACAAUAUAUUAAAAGUUUGGUCAUUCUCUUCAAAUUGCUCUAUAAAUAAAAUGCAAUUCCUUUCAAAUUCAAUCCAGAGCUGUUUGCAGAACUUGAUAAGCAGAUUCUAAAAUUUUUAUGGAAAAAUGAAGCACAAGAAUAGCUGAAACACCCCUGUAGAGGAUGAACAGGAUGAGGCGAGCUGUUUUGCCAGUUUUCAUUGCCCUGUGUAUAUAAUAAAGCUUUGAUUAAUUAAGAGAGCAUAAUAUGGCACAGGAACAUAGGAUAGACCAGUGGAUCAGCACAGAGCGUGUAGAAACAAGCCCACACAUAAAAUGAAAUCUAGUAUAUAACUGGAAUGUCACUGCGGAUCAGUAAGAAUGGGUUGCUCAAUAAAUGAUGCUAUGAUCAUUUGUUUUCUAUAUGGACAACAACAACACAAAAAAGAAUACACAAAAAUAAAUAAAAGGGAAAAAGAUUUAGAUAUGGAAACCACAAACUUAAGACUUUGGGGAAAAAUAUAGAAUAUUUCUAUGAUCUUGGAGCAGGAAAAAAAUGAUGAAAACAAGACCCGAAAAGCACAAAUAUAAAUGAAAAGAUAAGAAAGUUAACUGAGUUAAAAUUAAUAACACUUCUUAAUCAAAAGAUUCCUAAAUGCAAAGAUAAGCAAAAAGGAAAAGUCUGCCUCCCCCAAAAGCAGUGGUAAAACAUAGGAAUAAACACUUCACAGAAGAGUCAGCCCAAAUAGCUAUUAAAUAAAUGAAAAAUGUUCAACCUUUUAAAUAAUGAAGAUGUUGCAAGAUAAAACCACAAUAAGUUAAAGUUUUAUACUAAAAUGUUGGUAAGGAUGGAGAUCACUGCAAAACAAACUGUAUAUAUAUAUAUAUAUAUAUAUAUAUAUAUAUAUAUAUAUAUAUAUAUAUAUAUGCUAUGUAGCUUUCUACAACCACUCUGUAUAACAAUUUGGUCAUAGUAAAGUAAAAAUAUGCAUAUCCUAUGACCAGGAAAUCUCACACACACACACACACAAAAUGCACAUGCUUAUGUGUACACACAAUCCCUAAAAAUACCCUUGAACAGGGGCACCCAGAGAUAUGUACAAGUAUAUUCAUAGAACCAUUAUGUGUGCUUAGCUACUAUUACAACCAUUAACACGGUUGAAGCCCGCAAACAAAAAAUUAAUGAAAAAGCAAGAUGCAGGAUACACAUACUAUGGUUUAUAUAAAGAUCAAAAAAUAACAAAAGUAUACUGCAUAUGGUUGAGAAUAGCCAGGGCUGACUAUAUAAUUUUUAGGCUCAGGGCAAAAUGAAAAUGUGGGAUCCCUUUGUUCCAAAAGCAGGGGAAAAGCUUUUAUCUUUCUUUCAUGGUCUAUCUCUGUAGGAUAAUGGCCAUAGUAUCUUGAUAAUUCAUAGAAAAAAAAACUAUAUUAACUCUAAACAUUUGAAAAAGCACUCAACUUACAAAAUACACAAAGAAACCAUUUUUAACCCAUUGGAUUGACAAAUAGAAAAAAUUGAUAACACACUCUCUUACCAAGACACUCUCAAAUAGUGCUAAUGGAGAAAUGAAAGGACACAGCCAUUUUCAAUAAUAAUUUGUCAAUAUCUUUCAAAAUUUCACAUCAAAUACUCUUUGAUUCUAUGGGAACUUCUCCUAUAUGUUUGAAAUUAUACAUGUAAAAGGAUGUUAAUUGCAGCAUUUUAUAAUUCCAAAAGAUUGGAAAUACCCUAACUAGCCUAAAGCAAGAGAGAGGUCAUAUCUGGGUCUUUGGAAGGAUAAUGGAAUGAUAUGUUAUGCAACCAUUAAAAUAUUGAGGUAGGUCUGUCUGUGCUAAUAAAUGAUCACCAACAUAUAUUGUUGAGUGAAAAAAUAAAAAGAAUUCUUUGCAAAAGAAUAUGACUAAUAUGGUAUCAUAUUUGUUGGAGAGUAAAGAGUGAGGGGAGAGACAGACAGAGAAUAUAUAUUUGUUCAUAUAUGUGUACUAUGGUUUGAUGUUUGUGACUCUCCAAAUUCAUGCUGGAAGUCCCCAGUGCAACACUAUUAAGAGGUGGGUCCUUUAGGAGAUGACUUAUUAAAGAUUAGUGUGCCUAUGAAAGUGAUUGAGGGAGAGAGUUCACCCUUUUUGCCCUUCUACCAUAUGGGGACACAGAAGGGAGACACCCUCUUGGAAGGAGAGAGCAAGCCUUUACCGGACACUAUAGCUGCCGACACUUUGGUGUUGGACUUCCCAGACUCUGGAAUGGUGAGAAAUAAAUUUCUGUGGUUUAUAAAUUACCCAGUCUAAGGUAUUCUGUCAUAGCAACCAGAGUAGACUAAGACAACAUACAUCUUCUGGAAUGAUAGAGUAGGUAACAGUAAUUGCUCUUUAGGAAGGAAACUAGGACUUUAAAAAACACUUUGCGCACUUAACAUUUUAAUUUGUGUGCACGCACUACUUUUUAAAAAAUAAUAUUUUAAAAAGUGGAAGCUUACAUUAUGAGUUUACAUUAUUGCCAGUUUAUUAUCAAUGAAAAGCUACAAUAUUAUUUCAACUACAGAUAAUUAUUAAGAAAUAAAAGGACCCCAGUGUGCCUGCUGAACAAAGAGAGAAGGACAUUUUGGAGACCAUAAAACAUUCUACAUUGGCUUUUGAUGUGUCUGAAGUGAAACAUACAUACUUCCCAGAGAAAGGUAGUAAAACAACCUGUAAACUUAAAGAGAAAGAAAAAAAAGCCCACAAAGCUCUUCUUUUUACAUACGUUGUUUUCCUGGUAAAAUAUGCUAGUGAUCUAAUCACCUAGUAUAUUUUGAGUACCCACCAUGUACUACACGCUGUGUUAGAGUGUGAGAAAGGGUGUCUAUAAAGGAGAGUAGGGCAUAGUCCCUACCCUCCGAUCUAAUUAGGAAGACAGGCCACACAAGAAGCACUAUUGUUCUAUCUCUAAAAGGUUCCAUUUAGGCACGUGAUCUAUGACCACCUCUAACUUUAUUUUAAAAUUCUAAUUAGCAAAUAAUACAAGACGAUAUAGUUUUAAGAGUGUUGGAGUAUGGGUCUUAGUGCUGCAGAAAUUUCACAACAGGGAGAGUGUGGAGACUGGAAUAAUGGAAAAUAACCUAUUCUGGUAGGGACAGCUGAUAUGGACAGAUGGAUGGGAUUUGGCUUAUCUGGAGGACUAUCUUGCUAUUGCAGUUUUUCUCCAUCUUCACACUGUAAGAUGUCUUUCCUCCUCUGUUUACAGCAUGGCUCCUGUUACAGCCUUCCGUUGUUCAGCUCAAACAACAUCGGUCUUGACAGUGGAGAGUAAAUGUGAAAGUUGGAAAGUAGCAACAGGCAUAAAUAAAUAUGCAGGCUUAUCGUCAUUUUAUAUUUAUUUUGGAACCCUUAGUAAAGAAGGCUUGCAUGGGCCUCUUUUCGUUCAGUAAGUUGAAAAGUAAAAACAGUCAGGUAGACAGACCUGACUUAAUGUUGAUCAUCCCCAUCGCUUAUGAGCUGUGUAAACUUGGGCAAGUCAUUGGGCUACAGCUUACUAACCAAAAAGUAGGGAAAAUAACCACUGUGUAGUGUUAUUAUGAAGAUUACAUGAGACAAAGGUAAAGAAUAUAUAUUAGAUACCUAAUAAAUCAAAGCCAUUCACUUUUAUUAUUGUUCCAAAUCCAAGUUGCUUCUUUCUUCCCCAGGUCAUUAGGUCCGGGUCUUAGAUUCCCCUAUCAGGAUCUCCUCAUCCAUAGAUCAGCACACGGCCCUAGGCCUGCCUAACAUCUCUUAAGGUUAAUCCUUUCAUUUUCAACUUACAUUAAUAAUAAUACUAAUAAUUACAACUACUCUUUAUUGAUUACCUCCUAUCAGCCAGGCACUAUGUGCUAAUCAGCCUGCAUAAAUUAAUACAAUAAAACCCUUCUGCUAUGAGUUUCUUAAAACAUUUAACUCACCAUUUAUGCUUUCUUUAUCAUAGACAGCAAAACUGAAAAGUAAUUUGUUCUAAAUCACCUUAUAAUAAAAAAAAAUCCAAAAUUAUUUUAUAUGUCUAGCUGGGCAUUGUACAAAAGAAAUUGGCAAAAUAUAAUUCCUGUCACUAAAAUUUACUACUUGAGGAAGGCAAAUCAAUAUCUUAUACACUGAGGAUAGACCUAUAAUUAUGAUCUGCAACAGCCAGAAUCAAUCUUGCAGAGAUGUCAAAAAAGAAAAGAAAAAGACAGAAUAUGUAAAAUUUCCAUUAACAGAAAUCUAACUAAUUAUACAGUAAAAUAAAACUCCCUUUCUCAUCUUCUCUUCAUUUUCUAGUCUCUAUUCUUAGAACGAAACACACACACACACACACACACACACACACACACACACACACACGCAAAACAAAAAAACAAAGGAUAACAAAACUUCUCGUCAGGGAUGUAGACGAUGUUGUUGAUGCUGUUUGAAUUCUGGGGAUGUGCUGAUGGGUGGCUGUCUUAGGGGGAUAGUGACUGACAGAAAGUUGCCAACAGACAGAGGCAAAGAAUACACAUUCCUUUCCUUUAAAGGAUUCAAGCAAGAACUUUGCCGCAAUAAGAGUGGAGCACAGGGCGGGAGGUCCGGCAGCAAGCUGAUGUUUGAAGACGUGGUCUCCUUAGCCCCACAUUUCCCAUACCAGGGAAUGAACGGCAGAGGAUACCACCACAUGAGGCUGACCAUUUGCUCAGUGUCCUUCCAGACUGUAUCUGGGUCCUCCUGGGUUCGGGGGGGAAGCAGGCUUUGGGGAGGUGUCUUUUUACCUGUGCGGCACUUCUUUACAGUUUCAAGAGAGGGAAGUAGAAAUUUUUGCUAUGAGUCCACUGCUUCUGGUGGACUUAAUAGUUUGCUACACAGAGCAAACUAUUAUUCGACUGUAUGAGAAUAAGAAUGCAUUUUGCCCUAGGGAUAAUUAUAUGCUUCUUUCAUCUGCUUAAGAGCUAGUAUGAGUCAGUCCUGCUCAUUGCUGGGUAGAGGAUACAAACUGUAUUGAAGUAGUCAAUCCAGGAGUCUCUGAGGUCUGGCCACCCCAAAUAGGAUCACACUUCCAUUCUGCUUGAAGUCCAGUUCUCACUGCUAAACUUAGCAACAUUCAAGACUGAAAGAUACAGUUGAACAGGUUAUGCACUGCACAAUUCUAGGGGACCUGCUGUUUUAUUAUGGCCCUGGAUUCUUCUCAGACUCCUAUUCUUCUGCCUACCCUGUGAUUGCUUAAUUCCAUCUCAACAGGUUAGGAUAUGUGUUAGUCCGUUCUCACGCUGCUGGUAAAGACAUACUCAAGACUGGGUAAUUUAUAAAUAAAAAGAGGUUUAAUGGACUUACAGUUUCACAUCGUUGGGGAGGCCUCACAAUCAUGGCGGAAGGCAAAAGGCAUGUCUUAUGUGGCAGGAGGUAAGAGAGAGAAUGAGAACCAAGCAAAAAGGGUUUCUCCUUAUAAAACCAUCAUGUCUCGUUAGACUUAUUCACUACCAUGAGAACAGUAUGGGGGAAAUCACCCCCAUGAUUCAAUUAUCUCCCACUGGGUCCCUCCCACAACACACAGGAAUUAUGGGAGCUACAAUUCAAGAUGAGAUUUGGGUGGGGACACAACCAAACCAUAUCAGGAUAAUAAUCAAAAGCACUGUAAGAUCUCAGUGAUCAAACGUGAGUAAGACCUAUUCCCUAUUUUCUACUUUAUUCAGGUAGAAAAUAGAUAAACACAAUAAAUACCAUGUUCUAGGAUCUUAAAACAAGAUGUGAAAGAAAAAGUAUCUCUGCUUUACAAAAAAAAAUUGAUUCCACAAAUUCAAUUUAUUUGGGGUUUUGCAUUUUACAAUUUUAAUAUCCUAUUGUAAUCACUGCAAAGGAAAAUAGACUCUGUCUCUUGCCUGUCUCCUCACUUCAUCAUCCUUUCCACACUGGAAAAUUUUUUUAUGAGGUUUUCUUUCAGCAAGAGUUGGCUCAAUUUUAAGUAUGUGAAUCAAGAACCUGUUAGCCUAAAGUGAAUUGUGGUUUGGGAGGUUAAUUUGUAAUUCAUGUCUCUCUCCUGAUAAUGCAGGAAGGUAUGAAUAAAGAUUAUACAGGGCACACACAGUAUUAAUACAUUUUAAGCAAAAAUGCAGAUUGCAUUGAAUUAAGAGGGAUUCAGCUAUGCCUCUCUCAGGCUGGGAUUAUUACCCUUUCCUCAGAUUGCUAUUAGAUUAGCUAGUCUAAUGUCCCUGAUUCCAAAAUACAAGUGGUAAUUAAUCUCAUACCCAUUUAUUUGAAAACCUACAGCAAAAGCAGAGGUUAAAGCCUUACGCAUUUCAUGAAAGACUAAUAUUGAAUUAGAAUUACAUUAUUUACUACAACACUCUGGUGUGAGCAGCAAAAUUUCCAUGUGGGGCUACAGUUCUUUUUUCUCAGAUUUCUCAAGUUCAGAUAACACAAUCUAUUUUAUCUCAGUGUCUCUCACCAACUCUUUCCCCAUUGAGAGUAUAUUAAACAGACUUCUCAUCCAGGGAAGGAAAAGGUUCAAGGACUGAACACCUUGAGUGGGAGGAAAUAACAAUUGAACCAAUUAGCCCUUUUAUAACCUCCCUCUAGUUUGAAGACAGGUUUUGUUCUGACUUCUUUAUACUGAGAAAUUUUUUAUACAUGGUAAUCAUUAUUCUAUAAUUACAUUAAAUGCCAGCUUCUGUGAUCUCUCUUGAACCCCAUAAAGCUGUAAAGCAAUCCACCUAGGCCAUGAUGAACUUUCUAAAUUAGACACAAUAUACUGAUUUAAUGUGAAUAUAGCUAAAGCUCAGUGGGGGUGGCUGAUCAUAUUUGGUUAUAAAUGUUAACAAAUGAGCAAAGAAGGCUUUAGUAACUGCUCUUUCUCUUUUUCAUACACACACACACACACACACACACACCCCUUUCACUAGCUAAAUUGCUCUCAAGUAUAAUUUUCAAAAUGAUGAAAAUCAUGACUCAUAUCAAUUGAACACAAGUCAAAAAUUUUGUUUAUCUCUUUAUUUAAAGGGUAAACCAAUAAGAUGUUAAUGGAGAGUUUGAAGAAUUCAAAGACCGAGCAAUCAGAGAUAUUUAAAUGUAUUUGCUAAUAAACGCAAAGCUGGUUAAUAAGCUCAAAGGUAAUAAAAUGUAAUGUUUGGCAUAAUCUUUCCACAGGCCAGAAAUCAUGUAUAUCCUUACCAGACAAAAUCCAUUUACAUUGCUAAGAAUAAGAAUUAUAUACACUUCUCUCAUUUUCUACAACUUAAUUCCACCUCGACAGAGCUCAAAAAUAGCCCAGUCAAAAGAAACCAACCAAAGGGUGCAACCUCUAUAGAUUCCAAUGUCCAGCAUUCCCAGAGUGAAGACAGUAAACCAAAACUAAAAUCCUAAGCCCUCCCCAACUGAUCAAAUGGACACCCUCUUGGUCAAGAGGACCCCGGAGAAACCUGAGAAAUGGAAUUCCUGAUCAUGAUGGGAAGGGAGGUUAGACACGCCCUGUUAUGCCCUCUUCCUUUUGGAGUUUAGGAAGAACUGACCAGCAUUAACAUUAAAAUAGAGAUUAUAAGACUGGCAAAACAGACUCUUUGUGGCAAUAAGAUACCAAAUUCCAACCUGACUAUGGUAGAGCACCACAUGACAGAUAGUAGGCCCUGAAGGAAAUCAAAAUAUUUUACCCCAUAUAUAUUUCUUUGACAUAUGUUGAAAUGGCCCUGUAAAGCCAUCUUUUGUGGGGGAAAUUUGCAUCUGUAGAGAAUCUUCAUUAAUAUAGUCAAGGCUUUCCCAGACCUGGGAGAGAUUUGCUAAGAGUCUGGCACCUUUUACCACUGAAAAGUAAGUAUUUACCAUUUAUUCUUUCUGAA
rnacentral:lncRNA from 1 species